rnacentral:rRNA from 1 species
UACGGAGGGUGCAAGCGUUUAUCCGGAUUCACUGGGUUUAAAGGGUGCGUAGGUGGGGAGGUAAGUCAGUGGUGAAAUCCCCCGAGCUUAACUUGGGAACUGCCAUUGAUACUAUCUUUCUUGAAUACCUUGGAGGUGAGCGGAAUAUGUCAUGUAGCGGUGAAAUGCUUAGAUAUGACAUAGAACACCAAUUGCGAAGGCAGCUCACUACACGGUCAUUGACACUGAGGCACGAAAAGCGUGGGGAUCAAACAGG